rnacentral:lncRNA from 1 species
GAGCUGUAAUGCACAAAUAUUGUAUCUAGAAUAACUUUCCAACAUGGACUUUUUUAAAGUUAUCUCACAUGUUGUCUCAUAAUUUUUUUUUAAAGUCUGCCAUGUACAUCGUUAUGGAGUCACAGUUUGACUACUCAGUUGUAAGUACUUUUCAACACGCAGUGUCAUCCUCAAGAUUGUAUUUUGUAUUGUGCACUAAAAUGAAAUACAAACAACAAUUUCAGCAUGACAUGCCUGUUUGGCGGCGAUGGUGGUGCCUGUUGCUCCUGGAGAACAAUUCUUUGAACAGGUAGACAGUUUAAGUAAACUAGAUGUCCUAAUUAACUGGAAGACAAUCAAUAUAUUGUACUUAAAGACAUAUUGUCAUUACAGUUGUGGGAAAAUCUUCACCCACUGGACCAAAGAAUGUCAAGAGCUCAUUGCUGGAAAGCAUACUCCGGUCUUCAGUCUAAAGAGGAAGGCAGAGCAGCAGGACAUAGAGGUUAGAAAAUUGCCUUGUAAAAACAGUAUUAUCUCAGUGGGAGUCCUUCAAAAUGCACACAGUUGUAUGGAUCAACAUUGUCUCGAUGUAUUUGGUAAUUGAUGUUACUUUUCAAAUUGCCUUGUCAAGGAAACCAUGACGCAGACGGUAUCGGAUGUCCAAAGAAUGUGCAUGGCAGAUUCAAUGCAAUUCUGUGUCUACCAGACAUCGAACAACACAGGAGAGAGGUGUGUUGCAGACUCAAUUUAAUAAAUGCAAUUAUCGGGGCCUAUUCAGUGAUUUUCCAUGAAGUGACCACUUUUACAUAUAGUUUAAAUGCACGAAUCAUGCAGGAAAAUUAUUUAUACAUUCAAAUGUGCUGCAGAGGUAUAAUCAAUUGGACAGCGUGUUUGUUUAAUAUUAUGUUUGUCUCUCAUUUGAUCAGAUUGCUUUACCCUGAGGUAAACGUCAUAAAAUGGGUCCAGUGCAAGACGUGCAGGGGCUGGCUGCAUCAGGAUUGUGCUGGGAUUGAAAUGGAGCCGUUUGACUGCGGGUGCGAGG